CUUCACUGGGACAGCGCCUGUGAGGCAGACCUUCCUGCUUGCAAAAUGGACUGCUCCACGGCAAUGAAUUUUGCAGAGCUGAGCCCUAAACCUGCCUCUGAAUCCAGCCUUCUGUGUACCCUGUGUGUGGACCCAGAUUUGAACUCCGAGGAUGACUCCUGCAUGGUCUUGUUUUCUGGCACCUCCAGACAGGACAUAAACCACUUGACAGCCUUCCGAUUUCGAGUCGUGAUGCAUUCAACCCGGCGUCCUGGCGCUGCUGCUGCUCAGGCUUGCUGCUGCAUGGGUCGGUGUGCAGCAGGGACCCCAGUGCAUGCCUGCUGCCUCCCACGCCUCGCCAAGGUGCUGG